rnacentral:lncRNA from 1 species
GAUUACUUCAUGCACAUAAAAGAAAACGCAACUACAGUGGACCCUGAACAACGUAGAAGGUGGGGCAAGAGGAUGGUGGUGAACAUUUUCCUUCUUUCACACACACAUGCCUUGGCAUUGCGUUUGCCUGCAUGCAGCUAUGGCCUGCAGCCACUGAAGAAUGCUUGCAUAAGGAGCUCUUCUCUGCACAUACCCCGACACAGUGAUGGUAUCUUGCAGCUGCUGCUUCUGUCCAAGGCACUGCAGCCUACUCGUCAAAAGCCCGAAGCCCAGCUCUGCCAGCAGUGCACUGUGUGCUCUUAGGAAACAGAGAAGCAAAGAAGUUAGCAAGCUUGUUUUGGCAGAAGAAAAAACACAAAAUACCCAACCACAGAUCCUCAAAAAUAUUGCUAAGCACUAAUUUUGCUAACAUGUUAGACAGCCUUCGGAUCUAGGCAAUCUUGUUCCUCAGCUGGAAAGAGUUCCUGCCAGCCAUGUGAUUCCAAAUCCACCCUGGACAUAUGGGGAUAAUGAGAAAAUCAGCUCCGGCCUUCCCUGGCCUUCCAGCCAAGUGAAUGGGGGCAUCCCCUGGUGCUUCAGCCCGGGGCCCACCCAGAGGAUGCUAGCUGGCCUGCAGAGGCCUCAACCAUGCCCUCCUGGACUCAGGUAAGACUGAGGUUUCCAUGCCCUCAAAACAAUUGUUCAGACAAAAACUCACUGCCCAGGUCAAAGUCACAGCACCAGAAAGCCAACCUGAGGAUGAAGACAAAGCUCUUUGUUGGCACAGUCCCCUGAUCAUUCGAGGUCAGCAUCUCCAUCAAAAUGGACCCAAUGCUGAGGCAAGAAGGAGAACAUCACUGUUAAGAAGAUGGAAAAUGCAUUUGAGGUGGACUGAACACAGCCAGGAGUUUUUGCUUAUCGACAGCACUGAAUCCUGCCUUGACUAGAGAGACUCGUCAUGUGAUCAACUGUGGCCAGAGGGCAUCCUGCAGACAGCUCCUGUCACACCACACUGACCAGACUCUUAUGAGUAUUUAAGCAUCUUCAGGGAAGCGAUUGACUGUCUUAUAAUGGUCUUACAAGUACGGAACUUUAUUACCUGCUAAUAAUCAGAGCACAUGAUGGCACAAUAGAAUAUACGAGUGAAGUUCUAAAUGCAAGGUUGUUCUUAUUCUGUGAGUGGCAAAACUCAUGCAGUGAGCAGAUAAAGCUGGCAGGAGGCAUUGGCGCCCUAAUGCUGGGCACUAACCACCUGCCCGGACUGCGAAUAUCUGUUGGGUCCUUUCUAUAUCUGGUCUAUUCUCGUGUUUGAUUAUAUCCUGGUGGCAAGAAUAGCAAAAUCAACUCUCCUUCCUAUCCCAUGUGGAGAGGCAUGAUUUGAGUCAGAGAGCAUUAUCCUCUCUGCGUUAUCCAACCCCAUGUCCCAUGAUGCACUUUGUAGACAAGCAAGUGUCCCUGGUGGAGAAUCCACAGCCACACAUCCUCAUUGGUUGCAAGGAUCAGUGUCCAAUAUCUACUGCCAUGAUCAUUCUCAGUUUUACAUCCACAGAGCUUCAUAGAAUUCUAACACCACAGGUCCAAGUAGAGGUUUUGGCCUCAGAGUGGGCUAGAUUCCACCUCUGACAGCAGCUGUGGGACUGUUUUUCCAUCUGUAAAAUGGAGACAAGAGUAUCACCUACCUCAUGGUGUUGGUGGGAUCGUUAAACAGAAUUCCGAUCAUGAAACCCUUAGCCUGCUCCCUGCAUAGGCUGCAUGCGCUCAGUGAGCUAUGGCUCUGUUUCAUGCUGACUUUACCAUCAUGUAAGCAGUUUUAAAAAUGCUAGAAGCUUUAGUCAUAGAAUUACCAUAUGAUACAGCCUACUGCAGAGUCCAGAGGCUGAGGCAGGAGAGUUACUUGAACCUGGGAGGCGGAGGUUGCAGUGAGCCAAGAUCGCGCCACUGCACUCCAGCCUGGGCAACAGAGUGAGAUUCUGUCUCAACACAAAAAAGAAGACAUGUGUCCCCAUCACAGUAUCAUACAGAGUGCUUCCACUGCCCUAAAAUACCCUGUGCUCUUCCUAUUCAUCCCUCUCUUCAACCCCAGCAACCACUGAUCCUUUUACCAUCUCCAUGGUUUUGCCUUUCCCAGAAUGUCAUAUUGUUGGAAUCAUACGCUAUGUAGCCUUUGCAAAUGGGCUUCUUUCACCGAGCAAUGUGCAUUGAAGGUGCCUCUAUGACUUUUCAAGGGUUGAUAGCUCAUUCCUUUUUAUUGCUAAAUAAUAUUCCAUUGUCUGAAUGUACCACAUUUUGUUUAUCCAUUCACCUACUAAAGGACAUCUUGGUUGCUUCCAAGUUUGGGCAAUUAUAAAUAAAACUGCUAUAAACAUUGUGUGCAGGUUUUUUUUUCUAGAUGUCAGUUUUUAACUCAUUUGGACUAUAGAGCACUAUUGCUGGAUCAUAUGAUACGUGUGUGUUUAGUUUUAUGAGAAACUGCCAAACUGUCUUCCAAAGUGGCUGCACCAUUUUGCAUUCCCACCGUCAAUGAAUGAGAGCUCCGGUUGUUCCACAUCCUCACCAGCAUUUGGUGUUGUCAUUGUUUUGGAUUUUAGCCAUUUCAUAGGUGUGUAGAGGUAGCUCAUUGUUUUAAUCUAAUAAACAUCUUAUUGAAGAAUAACACACAAGCAGAAAAUUUCAGAGAUACAAACGAACAGCUUUUUCAACCAUCACCCACUGGAUACAGUUCUGUAUCCAGCACCCAGGCCAAGAAACUGACACUAACGGUGCCCUGUGCCC